rnacentral:rRNA from 1 species
CGUGAGUAACCUGCCCCAGACUCUGGGAUAACCCCGAGAAAUCGGAGCUAAUACCGGAUACGAGACGCACGGGCAUCUGUAGCGUCUGGAAAGAAUUUCGGUCUGGGAUGGACUCGCGGCCUAUCAGCUAGUUGGUGAGGUAACGGCCCACCAAGGCGACGACGGGUAGCCGGCCUGAGAGGGCGACCGGCCACACUGGGACUGAGACACGGCCCAGACUCCUACGGGAGGCAGCAGUGGGGAAUAUUGCACAAUGGGCGCAAGCCUGAUGCAGCGACGCCGCGUGGGGGAUGAAGGCCUUCGGGUUGUAAACCCCUUUCAGCAGGGAAGAAGCGAAAGUGACGGUACCUGCAGAAGAAGCGCCGGCUAACUACGUGCCAGCAGCCGCGGUAAUACGUAGGGCGCAAGCGUUGUCCGGAAUUAUUGGGCGUAAAGAGCUCGUAGGCGGUUUGUCGCGUCUGCUGUGAAAACCCGAGGCUCAACCUCGGGCCUGCAGUGGGUACGGGCAGACUAGAGUGCGGUAGGGGAGACUGGAAUUCCUGGUGUAGCGGUGGAAUGCGCAGAUAUCAGGAGGAACACCGAUGGCGAAGGCAGGUCUCUGGGCCGCAACUGACGCUGAGGAGCGAAAGCAUGGGGAGCGAACAGGAUUAGAUACCCUGGUAGUCCAUGCCGUAAACGUUGGGCACUAGGUGUGGGGCUCAUUCCACGAGUUCCGUGCCGCAGCAAACGCAUUAAGUGCCCCGCCUGGGGAGUACGGCCGCAAGGCUAAAACUCAAAGGAAUUGACGGGGGCCCGCACAAGCGGCGGAGCAUGCGGAUUAAUUCGAUGCAACGCGAAGAACCUUACCMAAGGCUUGACAUAUACCGAAAACUCAU